rnacentral:rRNA from 1 species
GACAGAGGAUGCAAGUGUUAUCCGGAAUCACUGGGCGUAAAGCGUCUGUAGGUGGUUACAUAAGUCAACUGUUAAAUCUUGAGGCUCAACCUUCAAAAAUCGCAGUCGAAACUAUUGAGCUAGAGUAUAGUAGGGGUAAAGGGAAUUUCCAGUGUAGCGGUGAAAUGCGUAGAUAUUGGGAGGAACACCAGUGGCGAAGGCGGCUCACUGGACCGGUUCUGACGCUGAGGCGCGAAAGCGUGGGGAGCAAACAGG